rnacentral:lncRNA from 1 species
ACCUAGACAGUGUAUUAAAAAGCAGAGGCAUCACUUUGCUAACCAAAGUCCAUAUUGUUGAAGCUUUGGUUUUUCCAGUAGUUGUGUAUGAAUGUGAGAGUUGGACCAUAAAGAAAGCUGAGCGCCAAAGAACUGAUUCUUUCAAACUGGUGCUAGAGAAGACUCUUGAGAGUCCCUUGGACAGCAAGGAGAUCAAAUCAGUUAAUCCUAAAGGAAAUCAACCUUGAAUAUUCAUUGGAAGGACUGUUGCUGAAGCUGAAGCUCCAGUACUUUGCUCAUCUGAUGCAAAGAACUGACUCAUUGGAAAAGACCCUGAUGCUGGGAAAUAUUGAAGGCAAGAGAAGGGGACAACAGAGGAUGAGAUGGUUGCAUAGCAUCACCAACUCAAUGGACAUGAGUUUGAGCAAACUCUGAGGGAUGGUGAAGACAGGGAAGCCUGGCAUGCUGCAGUCCAUGGGGUCUCAAAGAAUCGGACACAACUUAGCAACUGAACAACAACUUUUCUUUGGGAUAAAAAAAAAAAAGGUGGAUGCUUUAAAUAACAAAACCUACACAAGAGUAAAAAGCAUUUUUUUUUUUUUUGGCUGCACAGCUUGCAGGAUCUUAGUUCCCUGACCAGGGAUUGAUCAAACCCAGCCCUGGCAUCACUGCCAAGUCCUAACCACUGGACCACCAAGGAACUACCUGGAGAAGCAUCUUUUGAAGGGCUCCCAUCUAUGCUUUCAGUGGAAAGGUACACCCAGGACUCAGUAGUGACCUUUCUGUUUGAUGAAAUCGAUGAACAUCAUGCAUUCUCCUGGAACGGUCAAACUCCCAAGAGUUUGAGGUCAGAUUUUGAUGGAGCACCCAGAUGUCCUCAGCUGUCAUGGAGAAUACUUAACAUAUUUGCUUGCAUAUUUCCCCCAUUAUAUUGGCAGAUACUUAGUUAUUAACAAAGAAGAAAGAGGUGGGUUAAGGAGUUAACCUAGCAAUCACUGUAGUCUGAGGCCAAAACCAUCCUUGACAUGAUCCAAAGCUUUUAGCUUUAUUGUAUUCUUUCAGAAAGAAGACAUUGUCUCACAUGUGACUAGUAAAAUAAUAAAAAUAAGGAUAAGAAGAACUAAUGCCUAUUG